AAUAACUGUUGGUAAUGAUUGGGUUGUUUUUUACAACAAUGUCGUUGAGGCAAGUUGGAAAUGAUGGCAGGCAGUUGCUUUUUUCAGUUGUGUGGGGAAGCAUAAGUGUUGGUAUUGCAGUUUUUGUGAGGGCUAACGGCAGGAUUUUCUGCAUUCGGCCUCGUUUGCGAUUGCAUAGUAAACCUGGCUGUUGAGAUACAUAAUCUACUAAGAUGAUAGGUUCACAAAAUGUUUGGUUAUCUCCGAUAAUAGAAUCGGACACUGCUGGGCAGUCGGUCUCUUCUCCGGUGCAAAAUCCAGGAUAGGACAAAGAAAGCCAACGAACUCACGAGCAUCAUUCUCAAAGAAUUUGUAUUUAUCCACCAAAAAUCUAUCCAGUGG